rnacentral:rRNA from 1 species
CCUACGGGAGGCAGCAGUCGAGAAUCAUUCACAAUGGGGGAAACCCUGAUGGUGCGACGCCGCGUGGGGGAAUGAAGUUCUUCGGAUUGUAAACCCCUGUCAUGUGGGAGCAAAUUAAAAAGAUAGUACCCCAAGAGGAAGAGACGGCUAACUCUGUGCCAGCAGCCGCGGUAAUACAGAGGUCUCAAGCGUUGUUCGGAAUCACUGGGCGUAAAGCGUGCGUAGGCUGUUUCGUAAGUCGUGUGUGAAAGGCGCGGGCUCAACCCGCGGACGGCACAUGAUACUGCGAGACUAGAGUAAUGGAGGGGGAACCGGAAUUCGCGGUGUAGCAGUGAAAUGCGUAGAUAUCGAGAGGAACACUCGUGGCGAAGGCGGGUUCCUGGACAUUAACUGACGCUGAGGCACGAAGGCCAGGGGAGCGAAAGGGAUUAGAUACCCCGGUAGUC